UAGAAACCACCAAAACCGUCACCACCAAUCACACAACAACCCAACCCACAACCUCACCAACAUAACCACGUCUCCUAACACAACCACCACCAGAAACUCUAAACAAUAUACCAUCGGCACCUCCCAACUUCAACACCACCACCCAAAUCAUGACACUGCCAACACCACUGUAUUCACGAUACCACCACAAACUAGAUUCGAAGCCACCAACCCACCACACCAUGUCUGAACCACUGCAAAUUGAUCAACACACCACUGCACACGAGCGUGCCACCACCACGACGCCACCAUCACCGCAUCCUCACCCACCAUCACUGCAACCAGCCACACCACUAUCUCACAGCACCGAUCUGAGACUGAAUGUCGCUACAGCAACUAAGAUCUAAGCGCGAGUACAGUUCGCAGCAGUGGCACUCAUAUCCAAGCAUCGCCACAGCGUAUCGUCCGGUAAAUAUGGUAGAUUGACCGGCGAUUGAUGGAACCGACGACAAAUGAUACAUGGCGGCGAUGAAGAUGAAUCGAAAUGGGUGGAGAGAAAAUAAAUGGGUACAGGGAAAGAG
rnacentral:lncRNA from 1 species